CUGAGAGGACUGCUGGACAGUUG
rnacentral:piRNA from 1 species